GCAGAUUUUAGGCUAUCUCGAC
rnacentral:miRNA from 1 species